AUUGAACGCUGGCGGCAGGCCUAACACAUGCAAGUCGAACGAGUGGCGGACGGGUGAGUAAUGUCUGGGAAACUGCCCGAUGGAGGGGGAUAACUACUGGAAACGGUAGCUAAUACCGCAUACCAUCGGCAGUGCCCAGAUGGGUUGAGCUAGUAGGUGGGGUAACGGCUCACCUAGGCGACGAUCCCUAGCUGGUCUGAGAGGAUGAACAGCCACACUGGAACUUAGACACGGUCCAGACUCCUACGGGAGGCAGCAGUGGGGAAUAUUGCACAAUGGGCGCAAGCCUGAUGCAGCCAUGCCGCUUGUAUGAAGAAGGCCUUCGGGUUGUAAAGUACUUUCAGCGAGGAGGCGUUACUCGCAGAAGAAGCCACGGCUAACUACGUGCCAGCAGCCGCGGUAAUAC
rnacentral:rRNA from 1 species